rnacentral:rRNA from 1 species
ACGCUCGACACCUACGGGAGGCAGCAGUUGGAAAUAUUGGACAAUGGAGGAAACUCUGAUCCAGUGACGCCGCGUGAAGGAAGAAGGUCUUCGGAUUGUAAACUUAUUUUGUCAGGGAAGAAAAAAUGACUGUACCUGAAGAAAAAGCACCGGCUAACUACGUGACAGCAGCCGCGGUAAUCUGAGCGGGCUGGCAAGGC